rnacentral:siRNA from 1 species
CAAAGUCUCACAAGUUGAUAAUGA